AACAGGAUUAGAUACCCUGGUAGUCCACGCUGUAAACGAUGUCGACUUGGAGGUUGUGCCCUUGAGGCGUGGCUUCCGGAGCUAACGCGUUAAGUCGACCGCCUGGGGAGUACGGCCGCAAGGUUAAAACUCAAAUGAAUUGACAGGGGCCCGCACAAGCGGUGGAGCAUGUGGUUUAAUUCGAUGCAACGCGAAGAACCUUACCUACUCUUGACAUCCAGAGAAUUUGCUAGAGAUAGCUUAGUGCCUUCGGGAACUCUGAGACAGGUGCUGCAUGGCUGUCGUCAGCUCGUGUUGUGAAAUGUUGGGUUAAGUCCCGCAACGAGCGCAACCCUUAUCCUUUGUUGCCAGCGAGUAAUGUCGGGAACUCAAAGGAGACUGCCGGUGAUAAACCGGAGGAAGGUGGGGAUGACGUCAAGUCAUCAUGGCCCUUACGAGUAGGGCUACACACGUGCUACAAUGGCACAUACAAAGAGAAGCGAACUCGCGAGAGCAAGCGGACCUCAUAAAGUAUGUCGUAGUCCGGAUUGGAGUCUGCAACUCGACUCCAUGAAGUCGGAAUCGCUAGUAAUCGUAGAUCAGAAUGCUACGGUGAAUACGUUCCCGGGCCUUGUACACACCGCCCGUCACACCAUGGGAGUGGAUUGCAAAAGAAGUAGGUAGCUUAACCUUCGGGAGGGCGCUUACCACUUUGUGAUUCAUGACUGGGGUGAAGUCGUAACAAGGUAACC
rnacentral:rRNA from 1 species